rnacentral:lncRNA from 1 species
CGUGUCUCGGUGCGUCUUUCUACGUCGCACGUUCGGAUAACACUUUUUCCGACGGCUGGACAUCCUUCUUGUACCUUGGCGCUAGCUGGAUGACGGGACCUCAUCAUGAUCAGUGUAUUGCUUGCCUAUGUCUACAAGAACCUUCACGCGUAGCCUGUAACAAAGCUUUUGUGGGCAGCCAGUGCUCUCCUACGAAGGCUGGCCUGCUCUGGCAGUGGCGGCAAUCGUCUUCAAAAUUUAUCCGUGAUGACCUUUGCUGCUAUUUGUCACUCUUGUUAAUUACACUUCCUGCAUCUUUUCUAAUUUAUUAGGUAAUAAAGUAUGAGUAUGUGA